rnacentral:rRNA from 1 species
AGUGAAGCGGCAACAGCUCAAAUUUGAAAUCUGGCUUCGGCCCGAGUUGUAAUUUGCAGAGGAUGUUUCUGGCGCGGUGCCUUCCGAGUUCCCUGGAACGGGACGCCAUAGAGGGUGAGAGCCCCGUAUGGUUGGAUACCAAGCCUGUGUGAAACUCCUUCGACGAGUCGAGUAGUUUGGGAAUGCUGCUCAAAAUGGGAGGUAAAUCUCUUCUAAAGCUAAAUAUUGGCCAGAGACCGAUAGCGCACAAGUAGAGUGAUCGAAAGAUGAAAAGCACCUUGAAAAGGGGGUUAAACAGUACGUGAAAUUGUUGAAAGGGAAGCGCUCAUGACCAGACUUGUGCUGGGCAGCUCAUCCGGGGUUCUCCCCGGUGCAUUCUGCCCAGUUCAGGCCAGCAUCGAUUUUUGCUGGGGGAUAAGAACGGUAGGAACGUGGCCCUCCUUCGGGAGGGUGUUAUAGCCUACCGUACGAUACCCUAGCGGAGAUCGAGGUUCGCGCAUCUGCAAGGAUGCUGGCGUAAUGGUCAUCAGCGACCCGUCUUGAAACACGGACCAAGGAGUCGUCCAUUAGAGCGAGCGUUUGGGUGUAAAACCCGCACGCGUAAUGAAAGUGAAAUUAGGUGAGAGCUUCGGCGCAUCAUCGACCGAUCCUGAUGUUCUCGGAUGGAUUUGAGUAAGAGUUUUAACGGACGGACCCGAAAGACAGUGAACUAUGCUUGUAUAGGGUGAAGCCAGAGGAAAACUCUGGUGGAGGCUUCGCAGCGGGUUCUGACGUGCAAAUCGAUCGUCAAAUAUGAGCAUG